rnacentral:rRNA from 1 species
AGUGAACGCUGGCGGUAGGCCUAACACAUGCAAGUCGAACGGCAGCACAGUAAGCGCUUGCUCUUACGGGUGGCGAGUGGCGGACGGGUGAGGAAUACAUCGGAAUCUACUUUUUCGUGGGGGAUAACGUAGGGAAACUUACGCUAAUACCGCAUACGACCUACGGGUGAAAGCAGGGGAUCUUCGGACCUUGCGCGAUUGAAUGAGCCGAUGUCGGAUUAGCUAGUUGGCGGGGUAAAGGCCCACCAAGGCAACGAUCCGUAGCUGGCCUGAGAGGAUGAUCGGCCACACUGGAACUGAGACACGGUCCAGACUCCUACGGGAGGCAGCAGUGGGGAAUAUUGGGCAAUGGGCGAAAGCCUGAUGGAGCAAUACCGCGUGAGUGAAGAAGGUCUUCGGAUUGUAAAGCUCUGUUAUUAGGGAAGAAAAGCAGCAGGAGAAUAUCCCGAUGUUCUGACGGUACCUAAAGAGUAAGCACCGGCUAACUACGUG